rnacentral:rRNA from 1 species
GUUGUAUGGUUAAGUGACUAAGCGUACACGGUGGAUGCCUUGGCAGUCAGAGGCGAUGAAAGACGUAAUAACUUGCGAUAAGCCCAGAUUAGGUAGUAAUAACCUUUUGAGUCUG